AUUGAACGCUGGCGGCAUGCCUUACACAUGCAAGUCGAACGGCAGCGGACCUUCGGGUGCCGGCGAGUGGCGAACGGGUGAGUAAUAUAUCGGAACGUACCUUUCAGUGGGGGAUAACGUAGCGAAAGUUACGCUAAUACCGCAUAUUCUGUGAGCAGGAAAGCAGGGGAGUCGCAAGACCUUGCGCUGAUUGAGCGGCCGAUAUCAGAUUAGCUAGUUGGUGAGGUAAAGGCUCACCAAGGCGACGAUCUGUAGCGGGUCGUGAGAGGAUGAUCCGCCACACUGGAACUGAGACACGGUCCAGACUCCUACGGGAGGCAGCAGUGGGGAAGUUUU
rnacentral:rRNA from 1 species